UUAAUUAACACUGCCAUAAUGACUUGGAUGGCAGGUGGUGCUAGUGGCGGUGAGGAGCGAAGCACCGGCGGCAUGUUCAAGGCUUCGGUGCCUCGGGUGUGACUGUGAAGUUCAUCACUGUGUUUGCAGAGCACGGCUUUCGCUGGAGCUGCUCCGGGAAGAUCUUGGCGGAUCCCCGGCCUGGUGUGUAUUCGCGCCCCUCAGGGUUCCCUCCGUCACUCAGACCGCGGCUGGAGGAAGGCGCCCUGCCGGAGACCAGUGUACGAGUUCAGAUCAUCUCAGCAAGAACUAGUAUGAGGCUACUCACCGAAGAACAAAGUGGCAUCGUCUGCAGUGAGCCAUGGAGUCAGUUGGAAGCGUGAUGUUGGAUUCUCCACCUCAACCUUUAUUUUGAUGAAGGGCUUGACCACGGCUCCAAGGAAUUGUGGUGCUGUCCCCUGUGCUUGCUCCUCACCAUCCCCUUCCACUGGUUGUGCUGAUGAAUAAUUGAAAACUCCGGCACAGCAGAAAGUCCAAUGAAUUCAGAGCAAGGGGUGAGUAGACCUUGGCAAGAUGAGCGCUGGGGAAUACGUUGUCACACUUGUCACACAGUCCCCACACCCACUGGUGAAGACAUGCUUGAUCUGCAUCUGAGGAGGAUGGAAAAGUAAACUUUGAUUAUCUAAUGAUGAUUUGACCAUUAAAACCUUCAGUGGAGCAUUAUCUCUGCUAUCAGAUUAAAAUACCCAGUUUUAUUCCCUGUGCAUCAUAAAGGAUAGAUAGAAUCUUAUGUUAUGGAACUCCUUGUACUGUGGCACCUAUGGCUACAAACAUCUUGCCAUGAGAGCACAUAAUGCUCAAAAAACUUGCCUUGAUAUACAAGUAUUUGCUUGUGUUACAAGCAAUGCUGUUGUUAACCUAAGCUUUCUUUUUCAGUGUAAAUACUUUGUUUAGCAAUAUAGCCUAAACAAAGGGACCACUGAAUAUUAUUUUAUCCCUCAUUUAAUAUAUCCUCAAGCUUCGUAAAUACAGUAUAAAAUUCUGCCUUUUAGUAUUUUUCAACUGCUAUCGUGACUAGAAAAGACUGGAUAUGGACAUACACAGUGGAAGUCCAGCAUUCAUAUACACAAUCCAUUCCAGGAGGCUGUGCAAAUUGCAAGUUGUACAAAUGGCUGAUCAAUUUUUGCCAUAAAAAUGUAAACUAGAUUGAUCCAUUCAAGACCCACAAAUGAUUGCUUAUUUAAUUAAAACUGAUGGUGAUUAUUCCAAAUAAGUGCACACAGUCCCACUUAGAGGGGGUUGCUGGUGACAGGUGGCUAGCCUAUUCUACUAGUAUCCCCCUCACCUUAUCAGACAACAGAGAGAAGGGUUUCAAUUAUCAGUAUAAAAAGAAAAAUUCUCACAGGUUUCUUCUAGUGUUAAGAUGAAAGAUUGCAUGGAGAUGAGAUCCAAAUAUUAGUUCAUUACUGUAUACACAUUAGUUCAGGCAGUGAUGUAAUGAAAUUGCACAAAUUUAAUCACUUGGCAGUUAGUGGGCAGUAGGUGGGGAAUGAGUGUUUCAGUGAGAUAGACAGAUAGUUGUGGUGGUAAGGGGAUGGAUGGAUAGAUAAUUGUGGGGAUGGUGAGGAAGCUGAUGGAUGAAUGAAUGGAUAGUUAUUAUGGUGAGUGUGCAAAGUGUGCCAAUAUGCAUAGGGCCUUUCCCAACACUUACCUUUACACCAGCAAUUCCCCGUAGCAAUGACUCUAAUAUCAGUAAUGGCAGCCUGAACACAGUGGACCUCUCCAACCUUUCCCUGGAAGUAGAAGGUCUCCAAGCUGGACUGCUUUGCCUCUCCCACCACCUCUGGAUGCAUCACAUAAGGAAAGGAAGGAAACACAUUAUAAAACUAGAGUGCCACACAGUCAUCAGCCAAUGGGAUAACUUAGGUGCAUUUUCAUAGACCAGAAGUCUGUUGAUUUAUACAACUGUAAAUCUUCAAUUAAGUCAUGUCCAUCAUCAUAGAAGGAAAACAAAUUAAGUAUACAAGAAGAGCUUAAGUGACACUGGAAAGAUGACAGCACUGCCCAAUGGGAAUUUUGUUUGUGGCAAAAUUGGCAGGCAAACCAAUGAAGUUGCCGAGCAAGGACCAAGCAAAACCAUCAGUGAUGUGGGAAGACCAGAUGAGAUUCUACAGAAUUUUAGCCCAAAUCAAAUGACCUUGUUUCUAUGAAAUAAAAUGUACAGUAAACAUGCCUGAGAGGAAACAAAGGGUGGUGUUGGAGCACUACCCACUGGACCUGUCCCUCAACACAGUAGAGGCUCAUCCUCAGCCUCAGUAGAGGUUCACCCGUAGAUGGCCUUCACCCAAUGCCUGCAUGCCUGAAGGAACAAGGUGCCCCAAGGCAAGUACUCCAGUGUGUUUGUAGGAUUGCCGCCCUCGAACAGGACCUUGACUGCUGGGACAUACUUCCUGAGAGAGCCUGUGAGGUGCUACAAUUGCCAGUGUUUUGGCCACCUUCAGGCACAUUGUGAAGACUCCAUCAAGUACAGUGUGUGUAGCCUGCCCCACCCAACAAAGGAGUGCAUUGCCCACCACAAGGCAAAGGAGCCAACCACCACCAAGUGCUCUUCUAACUGCAGCAAAAGCUAUUAUGCAUGCAGGUCUCCUACGACUGCCCCGAUCCCUCCACCGGUGACAGCAGCAGUUCCAGGCGCCACAAAGGCAUCCAAAACAGCCCAACAACAAGGUGAGCAACAACAGCAUCUCCACAUAGCCAGCCCCACCAAAAAUCCCCAUCUCUUGUUGCUGCCCUCGACCAGCUUCCCCUCUAGAAGAAAGGAGAGAAAAAAAAAAAGCCUGACAGUGCUAUCUACUUCACAGACAAGGCAGCCAUCACCAGCAGGACCAAGCUGGUUGCAAGGAUUCCAGACCACUGCUCCACCUUGCAGACCAAGCUAGUGGCCAUUCAGCUGGCCCUGGAGCACACCCACCAGUGCCAGGAGACCACCGUGGUGCUGCACACUGACUACAGGGCCAGGCUUCAGGUCCUCCAGUAGCUGCAUCCCAGUCACAAUGCCAGACUCAUCACUGCCAUCCUGGGUAGCCUCCAGAGCCUCGCUGCACAGGAGCAGCACACGAGACUCAACUGGAUACCCAGCCAUGUGGGGGUAGCGAGCAACAAGGCAGCCGCUGCUACCACGAUGGGUUGCCUAGUGAUUUAGCACAUGGCUCCAAGCCUGCAUCAGGUGAAGGCAGGAGCAAGGUGUGCUGCAAUCCAGCAUGCCCACCAGUCAUACUGACUACAAGAGGGAAUCAGUAAGCAGGUGGCUUGGUAUGCAGCCGCCACUGCCUAUCAGCAGCUCGACAGCUCCUGGCAACAGCCAAGAGCAGAUGGUGUGCUGCUGCAGUAUAUAAGAUUGGGCUACUGCACCAGGGAGGAGCUGUAUGAUGGCUUCCAUGGUCAGGAAUGCAUCCACUGUAGAAGGUAAACCAUCACCCACUGUUGCACUACCUGCUGUCCUGCCAACCACUGCCCUCAGAUCAGCAUAGCCACCUCCCAGCCAGCCUGAAGGCCAUGGCCUUCUCACCAACUAUGAGGCCAGGGCUACCCUUCUCGUCCGCCACGUGCCCAUUGACGUGAUGCCUCACUAAUGCAUAAUUUACUCACCACAGCUGCAGCAGCACAGAGGAUGGUGAGCAGCUCAUCUUGCCACACCUCAGCGGGCUGGUGCCCACUUUGGGUACUUGUACAUAUGUAUUUAUGUGAUUAUAAAUCACAUACAUAUCAUUGUACUUGUACUUAAGUUAUUUACCAUGCCUGCUCAAUGUUAAAUUAAUUUUUCCAUGUUUGUACUGUAUUAUCACAUCAAAGUUUUAUUACGCUAAUUUUAUUAAAGAUUAUAAAAAUGAGCUACAAUAAAGGAGCUCAGCUAUACAAUGAGUUUUCUUUUCCACAUCAGUUCAUUGUUAAUUUUUUAAAAGGACAUGAAUACCAACUAGAUCUUCAUUUUGGACUAUAUCUGACUAUAUCUGAGUUUUAACUGAUGAUUGCUGUACACCGAUGAUUCUUCAACACAAGCAUCAGUUCUCAACAUUCCAUCUCUACAAAGUAAAGACU